GCUGUACACAAGUUUAUUCCAAUUUUUUAUUUUACAAUGUUUUGUUUUCGUAAAGUGUGGUAAGUGCAGACCAUAUUCUCUAAGAAUUUUUGUGAUCUUCUGAAAAAUGUAAUGAAAAAGUGUUUCACAAAGAUCACAGAAAAAUCGUGAGUGGAAACCAGUAGUUAUUCCAAUACAGUAAACUCUAUACAACUUUGAUGCAUUGCGUUUCCAAGAUGGCGUUAAUAUUAGUAGGAUUUGAUGCAUGUAUUAAACUUUUAUUAUAUCAUGUCAUCAACAUGUCAUUAAAAAGAAGCAGUUAAAUUAUAUAGGUUCAAGAGACACCCUUUUCUUUUAGCUGUAUUUUUUUGCUGUAUUUCUAUUAUAAAAUUAAGAAUCUGGAAUUUAUCACUACUUAUUUUCACACCGUGUUUUUCUUGCGAAAAAAAUAAAGACAAGCUAUGUAAAGUAAAGACCUCCCUGUAAUAAAGGUAACCACAUCCCUGGGUAUUCUACUCCACCCGAGACAUGUGCAAUAUUUUGUAUUUUCUCAUGUCGAGGAAUAUAAAUUUUAAUAUAAAGUUCUGAUUUUUUGCAACUGGUUAAAACACGAACUAGGAUGUCUCUUCUACCCAUGCAUAAGAUACUGUAUACGACCGACCGAUUUUAGGGGUCAAAGGUCCGUUUACAAACGGGAUUAUCCGCCAUCAAUGUGACUCAAUAAAUGGAUGCCAGUUGAUAAAUUUCCAAUAUAGCUACGUAAAAAAAUUCUAAUUCGGCAGUUUUAUACAUUUUCUUUCAAUUACAACUGUUCAGAGACUAUCAAUCUGAAUAAUCAGUCAAUAUAGAGAUUUGAAAUAAAAUUACGGUCAAGUGACAAAUAAGUGAUUAAUAAAAUCUGGAGUAGUUUUACGUUUUUAGAAAAUUGAAGGCGAAACCUUCAUUUACAAGACAUGUAAGGAAGGACUUUAAUAGUGUAUUUUCCACGUGAUGUUGUCGCCCCCCCGCCAAAAAUCCGAUUGGUCAACAGGCCUCCACGUUCAUUUCGCCGAAAAGAUAAAAUUAUCUUGUCAACGAGAAUUAGAUUAUACUAACCGAUACUAGAACGUUCAAAAGCUUUACUAAAUCUAUGGUGUUUACUGCAUCAUGUUCAGGGUGAUCCUAAAAUUUCCGCUUGAAAUUCAACGUCACUCCAAUAUAACCCACGUACAGCAAUACACCUCAAACUUCCAAAAAUUAAGACCAAUAAAGACCAAAGAAGUAUUUCUGAAAUUGACGGUACCAAAGGACAGCCUGAGAGCCAUGCAUCUAUAUAUAUUUAACCUCAACAUGUUACGCUUCGUCGAAGGCAUUCAGUCUCACACAAUGAACUCAACCAUGUAAGUUUUAUAACUUAAGUCUUCAAGAUCAUUACUUUCGCAGAAAUAUUUGAAAAUAAUAAUCCGGAUCAGUUUAGUUGAUAAGAAAUGUGUAUCUGCCACAUAAAGCUGAUCAUCAUAAGAAGGAAAAAAGUUGAGUUGCACAGAAUUGAAGACACGAAGCCAUCCUAGAAACUCUAGAAACUGUUCUUACAAACAGCAUCGCAAAUUGGAUGCUCACAAACAUCAUUACGCGAUAUCUAAUUGUCAUGCACUCAUCUUCGUUAUAUCUUUGAACAAGUUCAUUGAUAGUUUUUGACCUCAAAUUAUCAAUAUACGUAUUAGCUGGUUGAACAGGACCAUAGCGACCGGGGGAUAUUAAUUAGCGACUGAAAUGUUCUCGGCAUGCAUGCGUCGCAAAAUCAGGUAAAA
rnacentral:lncRNA from 1 species